rnacentral:tRNA from 1 species
GACUUAAUACUUUAAAUUAAAAGAUUUGAUUUGCAUUCAAAAAUUAGGUAACUAUACCUUUAGGUCA